rnacentral:rRNA from 1 species
AUUUGGAGAGGAUGCUUCUGGCGCGGCGCCGUCCGAGUUCCUUGGAACAGGACGCCACAGAGGGUGAGAGCCCCGUACGGACGGGCGCCUAGCCUCUACGAAGCUCCUUCGACGAGUCGAGUAGUUUGGGAAUGCUGCUCAAAAUGGGAGGUAAAUUUCUUCUAAAGCUAAAUACCGGCCAGAGACCGAUAGCGCACAAGUAGAGUGAUCGAAAGAUGAAAAGCACUUUGAAAAGAGGGUUAAAAAGUACGUGAAAUUGUUGAAAGGGAAGCGCCUGUGACCAGACUUGCGCCCCGCGGACCAACCGGCGCCCGCGCCGGUGCACUCCGCGGGGCGCAGGCCAGCAUCGGUUCGCCCGGGGGGACAAAGGCGGCGGGAACGUAGCUCCUCCGGGAGUGUUAUAGCCCGCCGCGGCAUGCCCCUGGGGGGACCGAGGACCGCGCUUCGGCAAGGAUGCUGGCGUAAUGGUCACCAGCGACCCGUCUUGAAACACGGACCAAGGAGUCAAGCAUUGGGGCGAGUGUAUGGGUGCCAAACCCGCACGCGCAAUGAAAGUAAACGCAGGUGAGAGCUUCGGCGCAUCAUCGACCGAUCCUGAUGUCUUCGGAUGGAUUUGAGUAAGAGCCCUACCGCUUGGACCCGAAAGAUGGUGAACUAUGCCUGUAUAGGGUGAAGCCAGAGGAAACUCUGGUGGAGG